rnacentral:rRNA from 1 species
CACGCCGUAAACGAUGGAUACUAGGUAUAGGGAGAUAAUCUCUCUGUGCCGCAGCUAACGUAUUAAGUAUCCCACCUGGGGAGUACGGCCGCAAGGCUGAAACUCAAAGGAAUUGACGGGGACCCGCACAAGCAGUGGAGUAUGUGGUUUAAUUCGAAGCAACGCGAAGAACCUUACCAAGGCUUGACAUAAUACUGAAUAGGAUAGAGAUAUUCUAGACCUUCGGGACAGUAUUACAGGUGG